rnacentral:rRNA from 1 species
CGUGUAGGCGGUUGUACAGGUCAUGUGUGAAACCUGCCGGCUCAACUGGCAGCCUGCACCUGAAACUGUAUGACUUGAGUACGGGAGAGGAGAGUGGAAUUCCUGGUGUAGCGGUGGAAUGCGUAGAUAUCAGGAAGAACACCGGGAGGCGAAGGCGGCUCUCUGGCCCGAGACUGACGCUGAAGCGCGAAAGCUAGGGGAGCAAACA